rnacentral:rRNA from 1 species
UGGACUAGAAUGCUUCUGCAACCUUGAGAAAUCAAGGGUUCCUUCGGGACAGAAUGCA